rnacentral:rRNA from 1 species
UACGUAGGGGGCGAGCGUUGUCCGGAGUUACUGGGCGUAAAGCGCGCGUAGGCGGUCGAUUAAGUCUGAGGUGAAAGGUUCAACGCUCAACGUGAACAGUGCCUUGGAUACUGGUCGACUUGAGUGUGGCAGAGGAGUAUGGAAUUCCUGGUGUAGCGGUGAAAUGCGUAGAUAUCAGGAGGAAUACCGAUGGCGAAGGCAGUACUCUGGGCUAACACUGACGCUGAGGUGCGAAAGCGUGGGGAGCAAACGGG